GCGUUAUAUGCAGCCGUACAAAACAUAGCUUAAAGGAUGAGUAAAACGGUGCUGAUGAAAGGAGCUCCUAGCUAACGAAAAGCGUACUCCAAUAAGCCCUAUGUACCCUAGUGGUUACACACGAACUUGCGGGAGGUGAUAGCAAGGAAUGGGAUGGGACAGCUCGCUUGGGCUACUUUUCCACUUAAGCGCACAACAAGCAGUGGCUUUAGUUUUGCCCUAUGAAUGU
rnacentral:lncRNA from 1 species